rnacentral:rRNA from 1 species
ACUCUUAAGGCUGAGACACGACGUCGAGCUACUACGGUAGUGAAGUCAUUGAUGCCAUGCUUCCAGGAAAAGCCUCUAAGCUUCAGAUUGUAAGGAAUCGUACCCCAAACCGACACAGGUGGUCGGGUAGAGAAUACCAAGGCGCUUGAGAGAACUCGGGUGAAGGAACUAGGCAAAAUGGUACCGUAACUUCGGGAGAAGGUACGCUCUUGAUGGUGAAGUCCCUUGCGGAUGGAGCUGACGAGAGUCGCAGAUACCAGGUGGCUGCAACUGUUUAUUAAAAACACAGCACUGUGCAAAAUCGUAAGAUGACGUAUACGGUGUGACGCCUGCCCGGUGCCGGAAGGUUAAUUGAUGGGGUUAGCGUAAGCGAAGCUCUUGAUCGAAGCCCCGGUAAACGGCGGCCGUAACUAUAACGGUCCUAAGGUAGCGAAAUUCCUUGUCGGGUAAGUUCCGACCUGCACGAAUGGCGUAAUGAUGGCCACGCUGUCUCCACCCGAGACUCAGUGAAAUUGAAAUCGCUGUGAAGAUGCAGUGUACCCGCGGCUAGACGGAAAGACCCCGUGAACCUUUACUACAGCUUGGCACUGAACAUUGAACCUACAUGUGUAGGAUAGGUGGGAGGCUUUGAAGACGUGACGCCAGUUGCGUUGGAGCCGUCCUUGAAAUACCACCCUUGUAUGUUUGAUGUUCUAACGUUGGCCCCUAAUCGGGGUUGCGGACAGUGCCUGGUGGGUAGUUUGACUGGGGCGGUCUCCUCCCAAAGAGUAACGGAGGAGCACGAAGGUGGGCUAAUCACGGUUGGACAUCGUGAGGUUAGUGCAAUGGCAUAAGCCCGCUUAACUGCGAGAAUGACGGUUCGAGCAGGUGCGAAAGCAGGUCAUAGUGAUCCGGUGGUUCUGAAUGGAAGGGCCAUCGCUCAACGGAUAAAAGGUACUCCGGGGAUAACAGGCUGAUACCGCCCAAGAGUUCAUAUCGACGGCGGUGUUUGGCACCUCGAUGUCGGCUCAUCACAUCCUGGGGCUGAAGUCGGUCCCAAGGGUAUGGCUGUUCGCCAUUUAAAGUGGUACGCGAGCUGGGUUUAGAACGUCGUGAGACAGUUCGGUCCCUAUCUGCCGUGGGCGUUGGAAGAUUGAAGGGGGCUGCUCCUAGUACGAGAGGACCGGAGUGGACGAACCUCUGGUGUUCGGGUUGUGUCGCCAGACGCAUUGCCCGGUAGCUAAGUUCGGAAUCGAUAACCGCUGAAAGCAUCUAAGCGGGAAGCGAGCCCUGAGAUGAGUCUUCCCUGAUACUUUAAGUAUCCU